AAGUCUAAGUAUAAGUGAUUCUAAUGACGAAACUGCGAAUGGCUCGGUAAAACAGCAAUAAUUUCUUCGAUGGUAACCUACUAUACGGAUAACCGUAGUAAUUCUAGAGCUAAUACGUGCCAUAAACGCGGGGGUUUUCCUCGUGGUGCCAAUUAGAUAACAACACCAACAUAUGGUGAUUCAUAAUUUUCUUUCUGAUCGCUGAGCAAUUAGCGACGCAUCGUUCAAAUUUCUGACCUAUCAACUUUAGAUGGUAAGGUAGUGUCUUACCAUGGUGGGCAACGGGGUAACGGACCGUGGGUGCGGGACUCCGGAGAGGGAGCCUGAGAAACGGCUACCACAUCCAAGGAAGGCAGCAGGCGCCGCAAAUUACCCACUCCGGACUCCCGGAGGGUAGUGACAAGAAAUAUCAAUAGGGGACCCUAUGGGUCUUUCUAAUUGGAAUGAGAACAAGCUAAACAGCUUAUCGAGAAUCCAGCAGAGGGCAAGUCUGGUGCCAGCAGCCG
rnacentral:rRNA from 1 species